rnacentral:rRNA from 1 species
UACGAAGGGGGCUAGCGUUGCUCGGAAUUACUGGGCUUAAAGGGAGCGUAGGCGGUAUGCUAAGUCGCGGGUGGAAGUCUGGGGCUCAACCCCGGGAUGUCCUGCGAAACUGGUGUACUUGAGUUGUCCAGGGGAUGGCGGAAUUCCAGGUGUAGCGGUGAAAUGCGUAGAUAUCUGGAGGAAGGCCUGUGCCGAAGGGGGCCAUCUGGGGACACACUGACGCUGAGGCUCGAAAGCGUGGGUAGCAAAC